AUGCUAUGGCAGGCGAUACAGCACUUCACCCUAACGGAAGAACCCGACCGGCUGCUUUGGAGAUGGACAGCAAGUGCUACAUACUCGGCCCAAUCUUGCUACGCAGCCACCUUCCAGGGAUCUACACGCUGCCACUCGUGGAAGCUGAUUUGGAAGAGUUGGGCGCCACCCCGCGUCAAAUUCUUCCACUGGCUUGCCUACCAAGACCGAUGUUGGACGGCGUCGACACUUGCCAGCCGCGGCCUGCAGCACCACCCUAGGUGCCUCCUCUGCGAUCAAGACCCGGAGACCAUCCAACACCUGCUACUGGCAUGCCCGUUUGCUAAGCAGAUCUGGCACCUCAUCCUGGACUGGACGCACAUCCCUGCCCAAACGCCAGCCAAUGAUACCAUCUUGAUGGACUGGUGGCUGCGGGCGAAGGCGCAAACCCCUCCAACGCUGCACAAAGCUCUGCAAUCGAUCACACUGCUCGCUCCCUGGAUGAUCUGGAAACAGAGGAACGAGUGCGUCUUCGACAAUGCAAGACCCUCGAUGGAUGUGCUAGUUGAUAGGAUUAAAGACGAGGCCAAAUGUUGGGCACAAGCUGGGGAACAGGGGCUGCGAGUAGUCUUGCCCGCCCCCUGGGAUGUCCACUGA
rnacentral:rRNA from 1 species